rnacentral:lncRNA from 1 species
CAUUUACAUGUAUGGGACAAUAUAACAAAUCAAAGGAAUAAUAAGGGAGUCCCUAGGGUCACUGUAAACCCUCCUGUUUGAGAACUUGGAAACAUUCGAGAUCCUCAACCCUAAACCAUAUUUAUUCAUGUAUGGGACAAUAUAACUAAUCAAAUGAAAUAUAGGGGGAUUCCCUGGGGUUCAUCCCACCCCUCCUGUUUGAGAACUUGGUAACGGUCAAGAUCCCACCCCUAAACCAUAUAUAUUCAUGUAUGUGACAA